GAAAGAAUCAGAUCUUUAUCUGUGCAUUUCUGGUGCCUGGCACAGUUUCAGCACAAACAAGGCAGAGAAGCCCUAAAGUUCAGAGCCCGGGUCAGACACUCCAGGUUUUAAAGGACACCAACACUCAGCAUGAUCUACGAAAACUAAACUCCCAAGCUCAGAAAAUGUCUCCAGUAAAUCUGUAAGCAUCACCUGACUUGUAAGUAGAAAAAUGAGCAUCUGUACCUCUGGGAAGAACUG
ensembl:lncRNA